rnacentral:misc_RNA from 1 species
AAAGAGCUGCUUGGACUAUUGGUUUCAACAUUGAUUUUUGGUCUACAAUAUAUGGGGGUAUAGUUAUUUCUGGUUUGGUGGGCUAUAUUCAAUUGUGGUGCACAGAGGAAAAGGGACCUGUUUUUGUGACUAUGUUCAAUCCACUAUCAACUAUAUUAGUGGCACUUCUAGCAUACUUUGUGUUUGGGGAAAAGCUAUAUAUGGGCAGAAUCAUAGGAGCAAUAAUUGUCAUUGUUGGUCUUUAU